GAGAUGAGGGUAUUUCUACUGCUUGGACUUGCAGCAGGGAGAAGCAGAUGGUCCUCAUUUCAUCAUGGGCUGCAAUACAUCUAACAGGGUUGCUGCAGCACAGCUGUCUUCUGAGGAGCUACAGAACAACCAUGAAGCCAGAAGCCAGACUCCAAGUGGCAGCGUUGACAGAACAUGGGCUGCCACCUCACAGGAGGGGGCAGCUUGGACAAGGGGCACUUCAGAGAACGGAAGCAAACUUGAAGUUGAAGCCAGAGAGGGAGACUUUCCUGAGAGAUCAACAGAAGGAUUUGCACCUUCUGAAAAAAGCAGCAACACACAAAGCACAGAUACACUGCUCACCAGUGGGUUCAUCAGUAAAUCAUGGCCCUUACAAGAAACAGAGAGACAAAAAUCAUCAGACAUUCUUGAGGAGCUGAGGAUGCAGGGAAUAAUCAGGAGCCAAAGUACUACUGCCAGCACUGAAGAAGCAUAUGAAAACAAGGUGAGCAUCACUACACGAUAUGGGAUCUCUGCUACAGUGUUCUGACUCUUCUGUGAGCUCCAUGAGAGUCAACUUCUCUACGUGCACAGCAUCCAGACAAACCUUCUCUAUGAUUUUAGAGGCAAAAUGUUGAAUAUAAAACCGUAUAAUGAGGAUGCUAAUAAAACAGAAGCUAGCAGUAGUAU
rnacentral:lncRNA from 7 species